UCUGUGAGGGGUGACGGAGGAAGUCCAGUGGCACACAUGCUGUCUCUUUGACGUUCUUAUACUAUAUGACAUUGCCUCCCCAGAGGUAGAGUGCAACAGAGACAAAGGACCAAAAAAAAAAAGAGAGUGAGAAAAAGUAGGAGGUGGCUGCCUUUCUGGCCCUUGUCACACCCUGUGGCUGCAUUUGUGUUUUCUUGGCAGUGGGAGGUACAGGUGGGAACACCUCUACCUACAGGCUUGUUUGCAGGGUAGAAUGCAAUCAGAGGUAGGAGCUAGCAUGAGAACUCUUGCAAACAGAGGUUGCCAGUGCUGCUUCUUGAGCGGAGUUCAUGAUGACUGGGGGGACUUCAGGUCAUCUGAUACUUCCGUGGGACUGUAAUACCUCUACGCAAAGACGCUGUUAUUCCUUCCCAAAGGCCCUGCGGGGGAAGAAGGACCAUCAGAGGUUGGAGGAAGGUGACAUUCAAGCUGCUGAGCUAGAGUUUGAGGAUUGACACCUGGUUGUGGACAGAGAAAAGAUCGACACCUCCAUAGUGGUUGUUCACGGAAGAAGUGCUCUGAGAGAGACAGUAUUAUCCAGGAACAAUCUGUAGCUCUUCUGAUGUUUUGCUGAAGGACCUGGAGCCCCCUCUCUGGAGGAAUCUGAUCUGACUGCCUCCAGCUGCUCACGGGUGUACCCUAUCCUAUUGGUUGAAGCUUUGAUGGUAGUUCUGUUAGUGGCUCUAUUUUUGUUGUUAUAGAAGCCCAAUUCUAGCUGUCUUACCAGGAGGGGAGUCCAGGAUGGAGAGCAGGUAUGACUGGAGUCAGAAUUUUGAAGGAUGUUGUUUCUGUUUGCCUGUCUGUCUCUGUCUCUCUCCCCUUCUCUGGGCUGGCCUCAUUCCCUCCCACUUGGUGGGAUCCCUUCACAUGGUCAGGAGAGGUGUCUUCUCUUGAAUUUUAUGUGUGUGUUCUGAGGGACAGAAAUCCUCCGUUGUCUGGGUUGUUGCUAAUCUGGAUGGAUGAAGCCUAGAGCUGCCUGUGGCUGUUUCCUGAUAUGUGAGGCCGUUCUAACCCAGUGGAGAGAGAGGACUGCUCUCUCCUAACACUCUUACGUUGAUCCCAGAGAAACAUCAGGCUUGGCUUGAGUCACAUCAGGUCAGUCAACUACUGCAUCCAGUGGAAGAAAGUAUGAGGAGGGGCCAGAGCAUUUACAUGGCACCCUAUGUGUAGCAGUCUGUACUUGAUGUUCACAGGAAACGUGCGGAAAGAGUGUAAGGAAGACAAACCAACAGAGAACUGUGUCAUCGUUCAGACUCAUUGUUUUUCUAGCCCAGGGUUUUCACUGGGCAGGUUAAUUGGGAUUUUUAUUUCUGUUGUUCAUGCCAUGUCCUUUCCAGUGCUUUUGUAUCUGUAAUAAGGCAAGGACUUGUUUUCAUUAAAAUCUGAUUCUUUUAACCCUUCCUCUUCAGUCAUUGUUUCCCUGUAAUUCAAAAACAUGCAGGUAUCUUCACAUUUAUCACCACACUUCUCAGAUGAGGAGGUUUACCUUUGAAAGCUCCCUUUCUUGACCAGUUAAGAUGUUAAGUCCCUUUACAUAUCAUGUCUGGACACAGGCCUCCACUGCUGACUCUUGCAGGGCAUGGGCGCCCCCUGGGCUGCUGAAUCCCUUAUCCUUUCUUGGCCGUGGUCUCCUGGCUGCCACAGAAUAAUGUGUAAGCUUACUUUCAAGCGCUGUCUCCAUUUUGGGAGCAAAGAAUGUCCUCAUGAAGGACCUGGAAAAACUAUUUCCCUUUUUGGCACUUCUGCCCUUUUAUGCAGUCUGGUUUUGUUCUCUGUGUAUAAAUAGAGGAGGGACUCAUUGUUUGCGCCUCCACCUUUUAGCUGGGCUAUAUUUUGCCUUUGGCUGGCAGGGCAAACUUUGGAAUAAGACAAACUUGGGUUCACAUCCCAACUUCACUAUUCACUUGCUGAGGGGCCUUCAGUGAGAUGGGCUUUUCAAAAUAUCUUUCAGCAUCGGUUCCCUCUCCUAUAAAUGGAGGGAAACAAUGGUGCCUGCCUCAUAGGGUGGCCAUAUUGCUUCAUGAGUCACAUGGACCCACAAAGCCCAGCACCCAGUAGAUGUUCAGUAGAUGUGAAUUCUCUUCCUCCCCGCAAAGACACUUGAUUUGUUUUCUGUCACCCUAGGCAUUAGCUCUGCACUGACUCACCACAUCUAUAUAUCCCAUAAAAGUUGCCAGUCCAUGGACUAUUUUUAAAUAUAUUCAUGUUUUCCAUAUUCUAAAGAAGCUGGCCAUUAGGAAUAAUCUUAAAGGUAGUUACUCUUUGGUAAAGGCCUUCCCUACUUUUUUCUUCUGUAUAGAAAUAGCUUUUCCUUUUAUUCUUUCUGGUGUAACAGAGAUUUCUCCCCCCUCCCCCAUCCUGUUUAGCAUCUGCUUCAUUUGCCCAUUGAAAGAACACACUCUCUUCUUUACAGAACUGUUCCUCUUUCACCUCUGGUUGGGGUGGGCUGAGGGGUAUCAUGUGACCAAGACUGGACCAGUCGUCAUAUGUCAUACCCCUUGCCACAGUGAUUGGCUCAGUGGUGGCCCUGUGACCCAAGUUUGGUCCUUCCCUUGAGUUUUACCCGCGGGGUCUGGGACAGCAAAAUCCUCUUUCUCUGUGUAUGUUGCUAAUCUGGGUUGAUGAAGCCUGGAGGUGCCUCUGCCAUGCCUUCUGCUGUGUGGACAGACCUCUUUCAUCUCAAGAAAGAAUGAGUCCAACACAUGGAGAGAAGCAGAGAGCUAAGAUAUGGGGUGAGAAGGGAGCAGGGGAAGGAGGCCAAGAGAGAUGCUCUUGUCAUUUGAUUUCCUGGGGAUAGCUGUAGUCUCUCACAGCCAGUGAGUUCUGACUUUUCCUUAAGCCAGAUUGGGUUCAGCUUCUGUUCCUUGAAGUCAAAGAUUCUAAUAAAUGUGUUGGUAUAUUUAAGGUAAUGGCCCCCUUAUAAAUGAGAGUUGUGUUUAUGUCACAACAAAAUCCUGACAGCUAAUCUAAGCUGCUAAUAUGGCACAAGAGUCAUACACUGAAUUCUUACAGAGGGCAAAAUUAUCUGGGGUUAUGGAACCCCUCCCAGUUUUGUACCACUGGGACCUGCCAUAGUACCAUGGGACCUGGCACAUAGAAAGCCUCAAUCUCUACUCAGUGAAGUAGGGUAGUGAGGGAGGAUCUAACUGGUUCAGGUGGUCAGUCAUCCUCUAGUCCAGGGGGGUCCCAUCGGCUAGGCAGUGGCUCCCACACAGGCCUCAGUUAGCCCACAGCCUGGGUCUCUGUGGGUCAGGCCAGAUGUGGGUAGGGAUCCACGAUGCAGAAAAUCACUUCUUUUGCGUUAAGAGUUCUUUAAUUUGACUGGGUAUGGCAAGUUCUCUGAGUCUCACAAAGGGGACCAAAUAGCAGCUGGGCACUUAACGUGGCUUGCCCAGACCAUUUGAAUCCUCCCAUUAGAGCCCUCAGUGAAGGAUUUGGAAAGCUACUGGGGGAAUUCCAGAAAAAGACAAACUACUCCUGUCCUGCUGAGGGUCUCCCCUUGAGCUUCUCUUCCAGAGGAGCGCUGUGACCCCAGACAAAGAGAGGAGUUCUGGGAAGCUACGGGAGCCUGCACAACUGCCAAAGAAUGGCUGACUCCAGAGCGACCGACCGAGGCCUGCUGGUUCUUAGACUCUUGUGGAUAGGAGCUGGCACAGAAGGGGAAUUUGACACAUGUUUAUUGAAUGAAUGGUCAGUGAGAAGUAUGAGUUCUGGGGAGGGAAUAUGCUACUUCUACAGGCAUGGAUCAAGCACCACUGAGAUCAUGAGUGAACACCAUGAAGAGUAAAUACCAUGCGGAUCUCAUGUUUUCAGGACCCCAAGUGUCCAGUGACUAGAAUGAUACACACAAAGUAACAUGGCAAAGAUUCAGCAGAAGGAGAAACUGGGUACCACUGAGACACCCUCCCUGACCAGAAUCACGGUUGGUCACUGGUCACUGGUCACUUCCUCAGCCCACCUGUGGCUCUAAUUCCCACAGCAUCCUUCCCUUGGGGGGCUUUGGCCUCUGGGAAGACAUGAAUGUGGCCCUUGAGAGAGCCCUGCAUUCUUGCACAGGUGAUCACCCCAUCCAAUUCAAUGUGAACUCAAGUAGAAAGGAUUGUGACCUUUCCAGAGGCCAGAAUCAUUGUUCUAGAACUGGAAGGGGACACGGCAGUUCUUUGGCCUGGUUCUAAUCUUCUGUCUGAAGAAAUCAUUGUAGUGGGGUGCGACUAUUCUAAUGCCUGGCCCCAGAAUUCUCUUCUGGAGGAGAACUGUCUUGAGACCCUGAGGGCGAAGUUGGCAAGAGACAAAAUGAUGAAGAGAGAACUGGUGUCUUGUGCAUAAAAAUAAAUAGGGACUUUGGGUGAGAGACUCUGAAGGAGAGGAAGUACAGGAGGAGGGGACUUCUCAGGGGGAAAUGAAACUUGAAACUUAUACUUGUGGAAAUUUUAAGAACAAGGAUGUCUAAUUUUUGAUUGCA